GGCUUAGAGUUUGAUCAUGGCUCAGGACGAACGCUGGCGGCGCGCCUAACACAUGCAAGUCGAACGGAAUGCGGAGAGGAUUUAUCUUUUCUGUGUUUAGUGGCGAACGGGUGAGUAACGCGUGAGGAACCUGCCUCAAAGAGGGGGACAACAGUUGGAAACGACUGCUAAUACCGCAUAAGCCCACGGUCUCGCAUGGGACAGAGGGAAAAGGAGCAAUCCGCUUUGAGAUGGCCUCGCAUCCGAUUAGCUAGUUGGUGAGGUAACGGCCCACCAAGGCGACGAUCGGUAGCCGGACUGAGAGGUUGAACGGCCACAUUGGGACUGAGACACGGCCCAGACUCCUACGGGAGGCAGCAGUGGGGAAUAUUGCACAAUGGGGGAAACCCUGAUGCAGCGACGCCGCGUGGAGGAAGAAGGUCUUCGGAUUGUAAACUCCUGUUGUUGGGGAAAAAGAGGAUGGUACCCAACAAGGAAGUGACGGCUAACUACGUGCCAGCAGCCGCGGUAAAACGUAGGUCACGAGCGUUGUCCGGAAUUACUGGGUGUAAAGGGAGCGCAGGCGGGUAUGCAAGUUGGGAGUGAAAUGCAUGGGCUCAACCCAUGAACUGCUCUCAAAACUGUGUAUCUUGAGUAGUGCAGAGGUAGGCG
rnacentral:rRNA from 1 species